GGACCCGCACAAGCAGUGGAGUAUGUGGUUUAAUUCGACGCAACGCGAAGAACCUUACCAGGGCUUGACAUCCUACUAACGAAGCAGAGAUGCAUUAGGUGCCCUUCGGGGAAAGUAGAGACAGGUGGUGCAUGGUUGUCGUCAGCUCGUGUCGUGAGAUGUUGGGUUAAGUCCCGCAACGAGCGCAACCCUUAUUGUUAGUUGAUACGGUUCGGCCGAUCACUCUAGCGAGACCGCCGUUGACAAAACGGAGGAAGGUGGGGAUGACGUCAAAUCAUCAUGCCCUUUAUGUCCUGGGCUACACACGUACUACAAUGGCAGUCAUACAGAGGGAUGCAAAGCCGCGAGGUGGAGCAAAACCCUAAAAGCUGUCUCAGUUCAGAUUGCAGGCUGCAACCCGCCUGCAUGAAGUCGGAAUUGCUAGUAAUCGCGGAUCAGCAUGCCGCGGUGAAUACGUUCCCGGGUCUU
rnacentral:rRNA from 1 species